UACGGAGGAUCCAAGCGUUAUCCGGAAUCAUUGGGUUUAAAGGGUGCGUAGGCGGAAUAGUAAGUCAGCGGUGAAAGCCUACAGCUUAACUGUAGAAUUGCCAUUGAUACUGCUAAUCUUGAGUAUAUUUGAAGUGGGCGGAAUGUGUCAUGUAGCGGUGAAAUGCUUAGAUAUGACACAGAACACCAAUUGCGAAGGCAGCUCACUAAACUAUAACUGACGCUGAGGCACGAAAGCGUGGGUAGCAAACAGG
rnacentral:misc_RNA from 1 species